GCAUUCCAGAAAUGAACGAAGCGAGCGAAGCCAGGUCUCCAGAUGUGCCCAGGCAGGCAGCUGGUCCCGGACUGACACUCAGGAUACAGACCCGGGACGUGAGCACGGCUUCCCGGGAGGUGACCCUCACACUCAGGAGCACCGGGAACACCGUGCCAGCACCUGGUUUCUCCUCCCGCACACGUAGGGGUACCGACUGGAGACCGCCCCAGGCCCCGUUCUGCGAGGCUGCUCUCGACCUCUCCAGAACUGGGCCGGCUGAGAGAAAGACGCUGUCUGGAGCUACUUACUGGGCGUCUUGCCACCGUGAGGGAUGUGGCGCCCGGGAAUGAGGCCAGCCCAGAGGGAAGCAAGAGCACACGUCCUGGGUCACCUGGAACAGCUACACCCUAAGCAAGCUCUGUCCUAGACUUUUCAGUUACAGGAGCUACUGUAUUUUCUUUUCUGCUGAAGCCAGUUUGAGUACAAAGGAAUACUGGGUCUUGCACCCCCAACAGUACUGACAGAGUAGUCGUGACCACAUGGCACAUGGAGACAGUCCCGCUCACGGCCGCCUCUUCCACAAAGCCGGACCCCACCCCCACCGUGCCCCACCCGGCCUCCUGCCCCCCAAUGCUGGUCUCCGCGCUGCCGCCUCAGAAUGUGAUUCCCCAUCUGUAGCAAGGAGGAGGUACUGACAGGUCACCCCCAGCAGGACUAAGGGUGCCUUGAGGGCAGGGGCCGGCCUCGACUGAGUGGAUGGGGUCUCCGGCAGGGGUGGGGCCCAGAGAUCCCGUCAUCCCCCAUCCUAGAGACUGGCCCAGCUCACUGGUGGGCCCUGUCACUGCCGCCCGCCGACGUGCUGGGACUGAAAAGGAGCUCUCCCAACCUCUGCUGUAGAGAGAAACCAGGAGGGGGUGGGGCCAAGCCUCUGAAACAAAGGCGUUGCCAUGGUUACCCCUGAAGAAACCGACCCCAGCAGAAGAGGGAGGUGUGUGCAGGCCCCCAAGCCAGGACACCGACAAGGCCUGUUGCCAUGGAGAUGCUCCAAAGCUUCCCUUGUGGGCCUGGCCAAAGUCCAGUGCAGGGUCCCGAAACCACCACCCCUCAUUCUGACGGGGCUUUGCGAUUCUGACCUAGGGCAAAGGACACGCCCCGAGGGAUUCAACCUGCCGGCCCACCCCGUGGCCAUGACCUCUGGGGUGAGUGCGGUAUCGGGGAGCUAGGGCCAGAGGAGAGGCUGGUGUGGACAGAGUCUCCUGUCUGCCCACGGGCCACACCAGGGCUGAGCUUGACCACAUCUGCCCUGGCCUUGGAGUGGGGUAGGGUCUGACCCCAGGUGGGCCCUGCGGCUGGGAUAUCAGUUUACCCCCUUUUAACAGAUGCAAUAAACUGAGUUCCAAGGA